UAUAUGUACAGAUAAAAGUUGUUCAAAAUGUUGAGUUUUAUGACAUUUUAAGAUCACUAAAAUUAAAGACACCUUUAAUCGACAACAUUACCGGUUUAACUCUAGCAGGAGAAUCGCAAAUUUUCUAGUGUUUUUCCUGGAUUGAGGCGUUAAAAUAUAACUAGCAAUAUAUUUGAAACAAUCACAUAAAGAUAAAACGUAAUAUGACAAAUAAUAUGAAACUAUACAAAAUAUUUGUUAUAAAUCUGAAACAUUACAAGGAGAUGAAGAUAUUAAAAUAGAUAUAAAUAAAAAUAAAAUUUGUUUAGUAAUACUUGAUUUAUUUAUAAUUACAAAAUCAUACUUAUACAUAAGAUCUACUCGUAUUAGCUUUGUAUUUAUAAAUACAAAGAGACUAAAAUGUUCUCUUUAAUGUAUUUUCUAAAUAUUGCAUGUAAAAUCUCUUCAACAUGGUUAUAUAUCAUAUGUUUAAAAUAAAUAUAUUUACAGUAAAGAUAGCUUUUUUUCUUUUGUUUAAUCAUUUCAUUCUACUUCUAGGGAUAAAUUGUACUUGUAAUAAUUAAACCAUUGAUGAAA